GGAAGUAAAAGUCGAACAAGGUCUCCGUAGGUGAACCUGCGGAGGGAUCAUUACAGAGUUCAUGCCCUACCGGGUAGAUCUCCCACCCUAUGUUAUCAUUACUUUGUUGCUUUGGCGGGCCGUUAGGCUCCGGCCCGACUACCGGCCCCGGCUGGUAAGCGCCCGCCAGAGGACCCAAAACCCUGAAUAUUAGUGUCGUCUGAGUACUAUAUAAUAGUUAAAACUUUCAACAACGGAUCUCUUGGUUCUG
rnacentral:misc_RNA from 1 species